rnacentral:rRNA from 1 species
AGACAGCAGCCGCCGCGGUAAUACGUAGGGUGCAAGCGUUGUCCGGAAUUAUUGGGCGUAAAGAGCUCGUAGGCGGUUUGUCGCGUCUGCUGUGAAAUCCCGAGGCUCAACCUCGGGCUUGCAGUGGGUACGGGCAGACUAGAGUGCGGUAGGGGAGAUUGGAAUUCCUGGUGUAGCGGUGGAAUGCGCAGAUAUCAGGAGGAACACCGAUGGCGAAGGCAGAUCUCUGGGCCGUAACUGACGCUGAGGAGCGAAAGCGUGGGGAGCGAACAGGAUUAGAUACCCGCGUAGUCCCUGUCUCUUAUAA